GCAUGGCAUGUAUUGAUCACAUACAAACGUGUCCGAUGUUUAAUGAGUGGGUAUCCCCUCAUGAGCUGAUGGCUCGUUGGUGGUGAUUGAUCUUCUGAUGGGAAGACGCAUGAGUGGUGAUUAGGAUGUACUUUCAUGCAGGCUCUGCGUAACAUACGUUGAACUGUGUGGAGCCAUUCGUUUCAGUAAUCAAUUGCUUUGGCUUGUCUUUGCUCGUUGCAAAAUGAUUGGGUGGUUUUUGUGUUAGCUAUCGAUUUUGGUAUGUGGGAUUGAUGAAUCCAUUGUGCUUUGUUCUUUCUGCUGCUGGCUUGUCCAGUAAAGGCGAAUGUUGCAUCAGUUUCCUGUGUUCCACGCAAGUUAUCCCUUUAUGGUAGUGGAUUUUCGAUGGCUCAUGGGUGGUUGUCUAUGCUCUUGGGUAUGUGAAAUAUUCAGUUGUCGUCCGGGUCUUUGACCCAUACGUGCCAUUUCCUGAGCAUGUAGCUUUAUUUUGUAUUCCCCUCGUGCUUGUUCCCGAGCUCAUUGAGCCUUAGUGCUCGUUGUUCAUCAUGGAGAUGCCGAGGCCUACAAGGAAUGC
rnacentral:misc_RNA from 1 species